AGGUAACGGCUUACCAAGGCGAUGAUGCCUAGGGGCCCUGAGAGGGGAAUCCCCCACACUGGUACUGAGACACGGACCAGACUCCUACGGGAGGCAGCAGUAGGGAAUAUUGGUCAAUGGUCGGGAGACUGAACCAGCCAUGCCGCGUGCGGGAAGAAGGCCCUACGGGUCGUAAACCGCUUUUGUACGGGAACAACCGUAGGUACGUGUACCUACCUGAGUGUACCGUAAGAAUAAGGAUCGGCUAACUCCGUGCCAGCAGCCGCGGUAAUACGGAGGAUCCGAGCGUUAUCCGGAAUUAUUGGGUUUAAAGGGUGCGUAGGCGGCAUUUUAAGUCAGGGGUGAAAUACAUCGGCUCAACCGGUGCAGUGCCCUUGAAACUGAAGUGCUUGAAUGUGUUCGAAGGAGGCGGAACGGGACAAGUAGCGGUGAAAUGCAUAGAUAUGUCCCAGAACCCCGAUUGCGCAGGCAGCUUCCUAGGCCACGAUUGACGCUGAUGCACGAAAGCGUGGGUAUCGAACAGGAUUAGAUACCCUGGUAGUCCACGCCCUAAACGAUGAUGACUCGAUGUUUGCGAUAUAGUGUAAGCGUCCAAGCGAAAGCGUUAAGUCAUCCAC
rnacentral:rRNA from 1 species